rnacentral:rRNA from 1 species
CGCUUGAAACACGGACCAAGGAGUCUAGCAUGUGCGCGAGUCAUUGGGACUCUUACUAAACCUAAAGGCGCAAUGAAAGUGAAGGUCCGCCUAGCGCGGACCGAGGGAGGACGGGCGGUUCCGAGGGAUCGCCCUGCACUCCCGGGGCGUCUCGUUCUCAUCGCGAGAAGAGGCGCACCCAGAGCGUACACGCUGGGACCCGAAAGAUGGUGAACUAUGCCUGGUCAGGACGAAGUCAGGGGAAACCCUGAUGGAGGUCCGUAGCGAUUCUGACGUGCAAAUCGAUCGUCGGAACUGGGUAUAGGGGCGAAAGACUAAUCGAACCAUCUAGUAGCUGGUUCCCUCCGAAGUUUCCCUCAGGAUAGCUGGCGCUCGCUUCUCGCGAGUCUCAUUCGGUAAAGCGAAUGAUUAGAGGCAUUGGGGUCGAAACGGCCUCAACCUAUUCUCAAACUUUAAAUGGGUGAGAUCUCCGGCUUGCUUGAACUGUGAAGCCGCGAGAUAUCGGAUCAGAGUGCCAAGUGGGCCACUUUUGGUAAGCAGAACUGGCGCUGUGGGAUGAACCAAACGCCGAGUUAAAGCGCCUAAAUCGACGCUUAUGGGAUACCAUGAAAGGCGUUGGUAACUUAAGACAGCAGGACGGUGGCCAUGGAAGUCGGAAUCCGCUAAGGA